CUCCAAGCUCUGCCACCGCCCGGGACGCCGAGUGGCGCUGGAGCCGUCGGUCCUCAGCCGGGCGCGGCGGCUGAGGCUAGCGCGCCCCGCGUCGGGGGGCGGCCGUGCGAAGGCCGGCAUCUUGUCCUGGGCGUCUCGGGGCGUCCUGCACCUCUGCACCUCCGGGGUGGGCCCGUGCGCUGCGCUCCGGUCUCCGCGCCCCGUUGGGCUGCAGCCGCGGCCCCCAGGUAAUGCCUUGAAGCCCUGGAGCCCAGGAGUGCGCUGAGCCCAUUGAAGCCGCGUGGCACCCGCUCGCGGCUCCCGGGCGGGUGCUGCCAGCCUAGGAUGCUCCCGCUUUUAGCGAGCGCAAGCGAGGAGGACCCUGGCAGCAACGAAAGUGCCAAGCUGCGAGUCUUUCUAGCCUCCGGAGCCACAGUGCGGGAGCCUGCCUUCCAUGCACAGUGAAGUCCAAAGCUGUGUGGAGCAAGGCAACCUGGUCUUUUCAACUCAUGUUGAAUCCGAAACUACAUUUCGUUUUACAGAGUCACCUACUACUUAGUGAUUCAGGGGCGACUCGCCCGUACAGCAGACACUCAGUUUGGAAACCAAAUUUUGCGUUUGGAAUUGUGUGGUGCUGCACCCCACAGCUGCAACUGUUGGGUGGGAGCCGCUAGGUAAUUCUCCUCCUCCGGUUACCCUUCUGUGACUUGGGGCCAUUCAUCGUUCUCUUCAGAGUUCUGUGUGAUUGGCAGGCAAGAACGGUUAGUUCCAGGGCCAGGCUGAGGGCUAGCAGGCACAGCCUACCCUCAUGAGCCACAGUUUAAGCCCAAAAGAAGUGGUGCUUGGAGAGGAAUUUUCCCAUGUGCCUGUGGGGCGAUGCGCAUAUCCCUUUGCACUCCCGGCUCCCUCCCUUCUACCUUCCUCAUUCCUUGUUGGGUAGAGGAGCUGAGAGUGUCUCCUCUUGGCCUGGGAGAAGAUUUGUUCUGUUAAUCUGACCUUGUCCAAAAUAGAGUUGCCAGAAAAAAAUAAAAAUUAACAACAAGGCCUCUCCAUCCAGCUCUCCAUAGCCUAAAGAAGGUUAGUGGGGGUUGUGCGGGCUGCUGGAAAGUUCUAGCUGAAACAGCUUAUUCAGAGAACACUGGUCCUCUGCACGGACAUUCACUUCACCCCAGCUCCCAUUGACUGCCUUGGCCUGAAAUGUGUGGUGGGUACAGAGAUGGACCAAUCCAGAAUUAGUCUUCUAAAGAAUUUCUCCCUCUGCGAGAAGGUGGGAGUCCUGGUCAGCAAAAGAAGAGGACUCCCUCUGUAAAACUACCCUCUGCACCAAGACUUCUGAUCCAGACACUGAGGGAGGGCUGUGAUGGCCAGGGAGAUGCCCAAAUGGACUCUGCCUCCCCCUUCUGCUUUCUACUAAACCAAUAACAGCCAAACACCACCCUGGAGACAUGCUCUGUGAGCCGGCAAGAAAAGAGCAGAGACCAGUAUGGCCCGAGGCUGGGAAAAAUUACCAGUUUUGCAGAGUCACUAAAGGUGCUGGAGUCAGUGGGCCAUGCCCUUCAGGGACGUGUUCCCAAGUCCCUGAAAAGUGGAAAAGCCUAGGACAGGGCAACGGUGAAUCCUAAGUGACCUUGACUUGCUGGCAUCCUGCCCUCGUCCCCCUGACAGCUGGAACCUGACUUCGUGCCUGGUAGUGAGGAUCCUCAGGAAAGGAAGGUAACCCAGCUGCAGAAGGCACACCCGCAUUCAGCAGUCUCUCUCCAGCCCUCAAUGAGGAUUUACUGUGUAUAGAGCACAGGGACCAGGGCAAAAAUAACCGGGUCUCCGCUUGAGCAUCUUCUCAGUCAUGGCUUUCAUAAUUAUGACAUAUAGAUCAGGCAUCAGCAGAGGAGCUGGCACCUACUGAGGAGGGGUGUGUUGGGUCCUGUCCUCUGCUGAAGAAACUAUCCCUAAGCCAGCAUAAAGCCAUUUUAUUAGAGCAGCUUGAUUACUUACAAGAGACCCCUGCCUGAGAUCAGGCUUGUGGAAGGUGAGAGUGGGGGGUGGGGUGCGAUGGGGGAGGCUCAUUGCCCCUACAUCGGAGAUUCUGGCCACUCCCACCUUUUGUAUGGAAUUCUGCCCUAAUUACAGGUAGUCUCAGGGGGGCUGAAAUCCAAAGACUGGGUGACGGACUGAAGGGGCUGGCAUUUCUGUCUAUGCAGCUCCGAAGACAUCAUCCGUGCGGGAGUGGGACUUUGGGGUCACACUCUCGCAAGUAACCCCCCACCUGUGCUUCCUUGGUUCCCCAAGUUGAACUUCUGUGGGAUUCCAUUCAGUUUGGAGCCCUGUAAGGGGGAGUACAUGUUUAUAUCUCCCCAGGAAAGAUUUUUAAACACACUCCUUGCAUCCCUGCUCAAACCUGGCAGAGCUGUGUCUAAGGAUAGGUUGUCCUGGGUGUGGACGUGUGUGUGGGGGGGGGAGGGGGGAGCUGUAAUCUAAUCAGACCAUACUUCUUUGGGACCUUCUGUCAGCUCCUCAGCUCUCCAGAGCCUUGUUCCCUGGUAACAUGGGGUGAGUGGGUGGGUGCCCCUGGCAGUACCUUAGCAACAGCCUUUAGGUGAAGGCCACACUUGCCAGGAGCUCUCUGUAGUUCUGGAGAUCAAGAACAGCAGAGGCAAGGAUUUCCCUCCUGCUACUUCCCAAUUCCUCUCGCAGGCAGAACUUAGGGUUUGUCCUCAGAGCUUCUGAGCUGAAGCCCUGGAAAGCACCUGGCUGGACAAAGAGCUGGCAGUUGGAACCCUGUGUGGGGGUUCAUGGUCCUGGCAGCAGUGGGUCUCACUCAUCUUAGACGUCGCAACCUUAGCUGUGUGGGUUUCACAGCCCCUGAGCUGCAGGCUUGCCUGUAACUGGAUAAACUCAGCCACUUGGGCUCUCUGUUUCCUGAGUCCAGUAUUCAUGGGCAUCCAGGAACCCCUUUUCCUACCUCCCAUCUCAGGGCUGAGCUGUGGCUGCCCGGGGUUGAGGGAAGCCCCCAUGUCUGAGCCAAUAGCUUUGGGGGUCUCAUCAUGGGACUAACACACUGAGGUUACAUUCGGACACACUAGCAUAUAUUCUGUAUUCAAGCUUCUAGUAAGGCAUUUUUUAAAUUAUAAAGUAUGUCACUAGAAAAAAAAAGUGUCCGUUAAGUGUUCACAAAGCCCCGGAGCACAUGGGACCUGGUGGUUCUGGUGAACAUGAGCAAGCCAGUUUUCACAUUAGAGAAAUAACAGUUCUUGAAGAAAUGUAGCACUUUUAAAAAGAGGUUAAUUAAUAAACAGCAGGUAAUUGUUCAUGGCACGAUGUGGCAGAGGGUAAUUUUCAUUUUUGAGGAUGGAAGGGCCAGAUACCCCUCCCCACUCAGCAUUUCUCUGUAAUAAUCACCUUGGCUUCCCUUCCAUCUUUAAUUUUUACAGCUGGAGCUGUUUAUCAUCGCUCCAACUUUCACUAAAAAAAAAGGGGGGGGGGAACUAUCACUUAAACAAAGCUAUUGAAAACUCGGCAUCAUAUGUGGGUUUCUUAACAUAAAUAAAUCAUACAAACCAAGAUUUA
ensembl:antisense Gm13111 predicted gene 13111